AGUGCAUUAUUAUGACUAUUAUCUUAACGGAAAUGAUUUUGCAAAGUUUAACAAUCCUAAAGAGUUUCUUAACUUUAGCAUAACUCUAGUGUCCUAACUCAAAACUCAUUUGAAUCACAUUACAGCCCCGUUGGAGAAUGGAGUUUAUAUUUAUUAAUUAUAAAACACGAAGAACGGCGAUGUUUGAUGGUGAAAUUCAGAAGUCCCAGAUGAUGUGCUGCGCUUUGACGUCAAAACACUAAAAAAUAAUUAGGCUACAGACUCCCACGAAAUAUCAUUUUGCCGAGCUUAUCAAACUACUUCUGCAGCACUGGAAUUAAAAGGAUGACGAUUUUUCUUCUCCAGAAAUGUAAUGCACAUGUAACACGUCCCGUGCACAUGGUUUCGGUCUGGCUUUCAGCCUGGACUUCCGUCUGAAUCAUCGGGUUAACGUGUUACUGGGAAAGUUUUUUUUUUUUUUUUUUUUUUUCUAUGAACCAUAUUCUUCCUCCUCUCCCUCUCAGAUGGUUUCAUCCAUUGUUGGUAUCAACAUUCAGUGCACUUGUGCACUCUGAGCUGGCUUAUAUUUUGUUCAGUUGGCUUGAUCACAUCAGUAGAAACAAGUGUGAACAAUUUUGAGCAAAUGUAUAGAAACAAUGACAAAUGUGUUUAAGGGAUGGGUAUCUCAGGGAUGACCUCUGGCCGUGUGGGCGGUUCUGGGAUGGGCUUCAAGGCUGUGACUCAGGAGACGGAGGAUAGGAAUAGGGAACAGAAACCAUGGCAUUCAAACCUCCAUGGAAGAUGCAAAUAGACUUGAAGCCCAGCUGCAAGAAUUUCUUUGCAUAUGUUUCAAGAGGAUGGCCAUUUUGUGAGAGAGAGUAUAGCAGGUCAACAGGAUGAAGUGGAAUGCUCAUACUGCAGUCUAUGUAAGUCUGGACUUCUGUUACGGAAAAACACAGACAGAUGGACAGAGUUCAACAACAGAUCAGUUUUAUUGCAGUGAUGAGCAAAAUGGAGUAAUGCAGGUAAGUGACUCAAGGUUAUUGCAGUUCAGGGUAUAAAUGGAGAGGUAACUGGUGAUGCUGAAGAGAUCGUAGACUUGGAGAUGGGGAACCGGGAAUGCAUACACCUCAUCUUCUUGUAGGUAAGUGUCCAGGUAACAUCAGACACAGGGGAACACUGUAAAAAAAUGCUGGAGACAGGAACUCAGGAGUAACACUGGAGAAGGAAACAGGAAUGCUGGAGAAUAGUCUUAACCCCAGUGUUGCUAGUUGCUUUCAGUUGAAAGUAGCUAAAACUGGUCACUAAAUGUCACUAACUGACGUCAAACUGGCAAGUCCCACUGAUCUAUAUUUAUAUUAAUAUAGAUCAAUGGGCGAGUCACGGAAUCUGGAUAAGGUUUGUCCAAGAAGUUUCUAGAUUUGUUGCUAGGCUUUAAAAAAAGUCUCAAAGGGGGAGGGGAAGUUGCUAAAUCUAGCAACAAAAUCGCUAAAUUGACAGCACUGCUUAACCCUAAACGAAACCAGACAACAAGGGUAUCCGAGGUAUACUUAAGUAGGGUGACUUGACAUGAGGUGAAUGGUGUUAGGUGUGGUUCAGGGAGCAUGAUGGGAACUGUAAUGCAGAUGUGACUAAGCAGGAGACCUGACACUUCUCUUCAACCUUUUUUAUUAUUAUUUGUAAUCAGGAUACAGUGGAAAUAGAGAGCAGGAGCUUGGAUUUAUAGGAUAUAACCUUAACUGAAAUCCGUUUCCUUUAUGAAAGAGAAAAAAGACAAAAGCGUUGCUCAUAUUAACAUUGUGUCAAGCACAUAUGGAUAGGGGAAUUUGUUAUUGGUUAUUGCUUGUGAAAUGGCUGAAACAUGAUGUGAAAUUGUGAAACUACUGGCAACUGUUUUUCUUCCUAAUUCAGUCGUGUAGAAGAUGUGUCCUGUUUUGAUGAAUGGGCCUUUCUCUGGAACUGUUGUAUCAGAGAAUGCAGUUCCUGUUCAAUGCAUGCCUCCAGAUUUAAAUAUCAUAUUAGAAACCAUAAACUAAACUGAGCAACAAAGUAUCUUCUGUUUCAUUAACAGGAAUGAGAAAUAGACUCUUUAGACAAUAUAUGUUGAGGUCAAUGUUGCUCAACCUUUCUUCUACUUCUCAGUUUUCUCAUUUCAUAAUAUUUUGUGAUGUUGCAAAGUGCCUGAAUCUCUAAAGUUGUAUUUAUUUGAUCAAAAAUACAGUAGAAACAGUCAUUUUAUUUUGAUUUUUUUUCCAAAUGUAUUCCUGUGAUGUCAGAGCUGAAUUUUCAGCAUCAUUACUCCAGUCUUCAGUGUCACAUGAUCCUUCAGAAAUCAUUCUAAUAUGCGAUUUGAUGCUUACGAAACGUUUCUUAUCAAUUUAGAAGAUUUUGUUUCAUAUUUUUGUGGAAACAGCGAUAUAUUUUUUCAGGGUUCUUUAUUUGAAAAACAACAUUCUAAAAUGUAUCAACUCUCAUUUUUGAUUAAUUUAAUGCAUCCUUGCUGAAUAAAAGUAUUAACUUUAAAAAUGAAUUCUAUUACAGCAAACUCUGAAUGGUAUAAUGCCAUUUGUCUUUUAAUUUCUACAGAGAACAGAACAGCCUAUUUGACUGGUGCACUGGAAUGCUGUACUUCCUGUGCUGCCUCAUGCUUUUUCUUGGAGUAAAGGAACAGCUGGGGCUAAAGGUGUAUGUGGCGGCUUUAGCUGCUCACCAAUCAGAGUUUAGUGACACUUCACUUGGAUCUGACCGGCUGAUUGUUGCUUUUCUGAAAGGAGCUAAUCGUCUGUGUCUUCAACAGGGUGUGCAGAGUCAGACGUGGGACUUGGGUAUGGUUCUUGAUUCCCUUUGUCACCCCCCAUUUGAGCCAAUGUUAGCGUCUGACAUUAAAUGGCUGUCAUUUAAGACCGCAUUUCUUUUGGCCAUUACAACAGCGAAGCGUGUGAGUGAACUCCAUGCUUUAUCAGUGAGUGGCCCCUGUUUGCACUGGAGUAGUGGAUCCAGUGUUUCAUUGUGGCCCAAUCUGUUGGCUGCACUCCCAGCAGAUCAAGCUGACCUACGGUUAGAGCUAUGUCCAGUUAGGUCUUUGAGGGAUUACAUUGAUAAGACUGCAUAAGACUGAUCAAUUGUUUGUUUGUUUUAGUGAUGCACACAGAGGUGCUGCACUUUCUAAACAGAGACUGGCGCACUGGGUGAUGCAGGUCAUUUCUCAUGCGUACAAGUCUGUGUGGCAGUCUAUUCACUGUCAUUCUACACAUGCUUUGGCAGCGUUCAGAGGAGUGUUGCUUUCUGAAAUUUGUUUUCACAUUUCUACAGAUGGAAUGUGACUCCCUUGCCAGCGGUAUGCGGUUGCAGUGUUUUCUGCCUGCACGGACAUUCCUCAUGACUGCGUAGAUGAAAGAAAGUCAAAUGGGUUUGGAAUGACAUGAGGGGUAAGUGAAUUUUUGCCAGAUGAUGGCAGAUGCUCUUUUCUUCAUUCCAUGUAUAAAGUGCCAAUCUCCAUGCAAUACUCUGAAUCACAAACAUGUGACACUACACAUCAAUACAAACAUCACAAGCAAGAGUGAGAUCACCCAAAUAUUUCUUACGCAGAUCCACAUAAAGAGCAAUCAUACAAGAAAUGCUUCUCAUCUACUAUCACAGAGGCAUUCAUUGUUAACUUACAAUAGUUACAGAUACUCUCUGCCAUUGCUGUGUUACUCCUUCUGCCUGUUUCAAUAGAUAACUGAUGACCUGAGCAUCUGAACAGGAACAGCUGUAUGUUAUUUACAGGUGCAAUGUAGCUCUCUUGUACCAUCAGAUAUUUAUAACAAUUAACCAUUUCAAUCUUCUCACCAACAAAAUAUCCUUUUUCAGAUAUUUUUUAAGAGAUUCCUCUCUAGUUUUCUACAUUGUUUUUUAUCACUAUUCUUAUUUAACAGGCAAAUCACAGCCUCGCACCAAGCCUCUGGGAAGUCACCUGUGUCUAAUAUUUUGUUAUAUAGAUAAAGCAUGAUGGGACAUAACAUAUGUGAUGCUGCUUACAGCAUCUCAAUACCAUCUGGACCAGGGGCUUUUCCAUUACUCAUUGACAUAAUAGUUUCAAAGACCUCAUCAUAAGUAAUAUGUCUAUCCAAAACUUCAACAUACAUAUGACAAUAACUUUGUAAAACAUAACCACUUGUCAUCUGUGUGUGUUAGACCUUCCAUAACUUUUGAAUUUCUUCCACAGUUGUUGUUUUCAUGUUAUUCUAUAACAUAUUACCUAGAUUAAGGUUGAUUUUGACAGAGAGUUUGCAUGUAAUUAACCUGCUUAACUAUCCCUUUAGUUACAUUUUAAUUCAAUUUUUUACAUAAAGAAAUAAGAUUUAUUUUUGCCAUUUUUGUAGAGACUUCACAGGAAACCGUGUUUAAAAGAGAUGGGGGAGUGGGAUUGGAAAGUACAAAAUACAAAAUAAUCUGCACAUGCAACCCAGAUGGACAGGGUGGAUCGCUUCCUCAUGGGGACACCAGACACUUCCAGUUGACAAGGUUUUUAAGUCUGCUGUAAUGAUCAGCGGGGAACCUUCUGAUUCGUUGCUGUGAAUGAUGUUAAACCUACUGAUGCAGGAAGGAGCUGAUGACAUUACUUUAAUAUGCUUCUCAAGGGGAGCGAUGUAUCACAAAUAUUGUUUAAUCAAAAGUUUAUGGUGAAAUAAAGAUUCCUGAAGCAAUUGCUUUCUAUAGCCUACAAUGAAUAUUGACAUUAGGGUCAUUACUCAGAUCUUUUCCACAUGUUACACUGUCAUCUGGUGGUCAAAAAGAUGAAGCUAAACUGCUAAGUUUCAGUAUUCAGUCACAGCCACUUGUUUACAUGUGGUCCCUUGUGAUCAAAUAACAAAAUGUUAUUUGAUUUUGAAUAAAUAAAAAUCACUGUGAAAGCUUUUGGGUUCAGUGUGCUGUCAGUAACGUAAAAUAAGUUAAGUAAGCAAAUAUCACUAUCAAUCAAUCCAUCAAUUUUCCAAACCUUCUGUCCUAUAGGGUUGUGGUAGAGGUAGUUGUUGAGGCAGUUGUGGAGUAACUUCUUGUUGACGUUCGAAGUGUUGUCAAACAAAACAGAGGCUAGCUAGACCCUCCCUCCUCCU